rnacentral:tRNA from 1 species
ACCUGGGUGGCUCAGUCGGUUAAGCGUCCAACUUCAACUUGGGUCAUGAACUCAUGGUUCGUGGGUUCAAACUCUACCUCAGGCU